rnacentral:rRNA from 1 species
CAGCCGCCACGGUAAUACGUAGGUGGCAAGCGUUGUCCGGAAUUAUUGGGCGUAAAGGGCUCGCAGGCGGUUUCUUAAGUCUGAUGUGUAAGCCCCCGGCUCAACCGGGGAGGGUCAUUGGAAACUGGGAAACUUGAGUGCAGAAGAGGAGAGUGGAAUUCCACGUGUAGCGGUGAAAUGCGUAGAGAUGUGGAGGAACACCAGUGGCGAAGGCGACUCUCUGGUCUGUAACUGACGCUGAGGAGCGAAAGCGUGGGGAGCGAACAGGAUUAGAUACCCCUGUAGUCCCUGUCUCUUAUAA